rnacentral:lncRNA from 1 species
AUACGCGGCGGAGAGCGGGACGCGCGGUCCACGGGCAAGCCCCGGCUCCACGGCGGAGCGGCGAGCGAGGCCAACGAGUUUCUAGCGGCGGAGGCUGGGAUGGCGCCAGGGGUGGCCGAGAGCGCGGCCCGGAGACCCUGGAACCCCCUCGCCCAGGGAACGGGGAAAAAGGAGGGGUCGACCCCCAGAAAUUCUGGAAUCCCCUUGAACAGGGCGAAAACUGGGGUGUUACUCCGGACUCUGUGGGAGGGAGGAUAAUUCUAGCGGGGGCACGCGUGCUGGGAGGGCAGGUGAGGAAGGGGGUCACUCCCCUUCCCCAGUCCCCGACCCCAUUGUCUCAGUCGCCUGCGGCCCGGGCCGACUCCGCAACACGUGUUGACUACACCGAUAUGAAUGCCUUGAAUUUUUUUUAUUGUUAUUAUUUUUCGUUUGCAGAGUCUGAGCUGACUCCGACUUUGGCUCACCGCUCUGCGGCCGGACGAUUGUAUGCCAUUCAAAAAGUCGGGAGUUGAAAGACAGCACGCAGCACCUUUGUCCCCCUCCCCGUUUUCCCGGCGCGCUGAAAAGAAAUGGGGCUGGGACUUAGGGGCGGGGGAGGGCUUCCAACUCGGUUUCUCUAUAUCCUCCACCACCUUAGAGCCCACCCUCCCCAAUGAGCGUUUUGUUCUACCCAGCCACGUGUUUGUCGGAUUUUUGUUUUUGUGAUUUUUUUUUCCCAUGGAACAACAAGAAUUAAAGUACUAGGAGCUAUUUGUUGUUGAGUAGAAAGAGAAUAUUUUCUGUCCAAGAAGGUGGGAGACAUCUGUGUCUCACCCCCACACACACACCUCCGACCCUCCCCCCUUAUCUGACUCUUAAUACUUAGCUGUUGGUCACAAGCAUUAUUUUUAAACAAACCAAUGAGUAGGAAAC